rnacentral:lncRNA from 1 species
CCAUUUCGUCUCUUUCUCCCUUCUCUCAUUCAGAGACCAAACCCUAGCCGCCUUUGAACUCCCCACCGGCUCCGCCAUAUUCCGCCGCCCGAAAAUUGCCUCACGGCGCCGGACCACCACCAAACCACUCCAUAACUUAACCAGAUAAUCCCCAGCCUCUCCUCUUCACUAAUCCACCUUUGGUUUCCCUAAAUUUCCCACUGAUUUGUUCGAAUCCUAGAGAGCAGAAACCCUAUUUUACCCUCUUUUCCAAUUUUUUUGUUUUUCUUCGAGUUUUCAAGAAUCGAUUUGGAUUGAAACCUAUGUUAGUUUAUCGUUCUCAAUGAGAACGAUUGAUUAACGUUAUUUUUGAUCUAUUUCGGAGCUUUUUGGAUUUGCCGGAGUCCUUUUAGACCAACUAGGUAUAUUUUCUGUUUUUUCUCCCUCUUUUCUUUCUCUUGUUCCUUCUUUCUCCUUUUCUUUGAUUGUGCAUGUGUUUAGCCGUUAUAUUAAGUUAAGGUCAUUUGAUUCUAGACUAAUUAGUGUUUGGUUUAGCAUUCACUAUUUAGGUUAACUUUAAAAUAUUAUUCGAACAUGCUAAACUGUUUGGUUAAAGAAAAUUAGUUUAAUUACUUGUAAUUAGUUUAAUUGCAUAUUUUAUUUAAUUUAAUCAAGUUUAGAUAAAUUAGGUUAACUAUUAGGUUUUAUUGCAUCAGUGAUCUUGUUUUUCGUUUUGUUGCUGUUUUUCUUUUAUUUUGUUGUUUUGGGAAUUCAGUUUUGUUUGGGGUUUAUAGGGUUAAUUAGAUAAACGUCCUGAUUCAAUUAUUAGCUUAGGUUUUAAAUCAGGAUUUUGCUUUAGCUAGGAUGCUUUGAAUAAGUUUCAGUUGAUUUUAAGUUUUAAAUGCUUUAAAGAAUUGAAAAGCGUAAUAACCAAAGGUUUAAGGGAUUUAAUUGAGAACCAAAUCAGGGAACCUAAGUCUAGAAUUGCCUAGAUGGUUCUAGGAGGUUCCAGAAGGGAUUAAUGGGUAAUCAAACGACUGAAAUUAGGUCAGAUUGGGGUGAAAGGGCAAUAAUAAGAACUUAAAAGGGUAAAUUGAAAAGUUAAAAUGGGGAAAAAUAUUAGAAAGUUCUAGUAUUGGACAGAUGUCCCUAUAUUUAGUAUGAAAAUACUGAAUUUGGGUAAAAAGUACAGACAAUUGUACCAAAUCUGUUAAAAGAUGUUGUACUAUCUGAUAUUUCUGAAUUUUAGGGUAGAACAUUCCCUUUUUAUGCUUUUUUAUGCACUCUAUAUAAGGAAUAGACCAUCAGUCACUCACACACAUAUCCAUUAGCCUAUUCACUCUAAGAAUUAUCUGAAAGCACAUAGAAAAACUGUUGCAUUUCCUUUCUCUGGCAUUCUUAGCAGAAAAACAAAAAUAUAGUUCCUAGAAAUCCCUAAGAAGUUCUGUUUUCUCUUCAUUCAUUUCUGAUCCUUCUCGAAGAUGAUUCUGGAUUGAAGUUUGAAACUUGUUCUGGGUUUAUUCAUUGCUGCUGUACCUGUUUGGUUGUUGCUAUUUUUGAGCUUGCUGAAUCUAUUUCUCCAGUUUUUUGCCUUUAUUUGGCAUUUACUAUCUCUCAUAGAAGGUAUGUGAAAUUCUUUCCUUGUAACCUUUAUGAAUCUGGAAAUAUAGACUAAACAUGUUGAUAUUGUGCUUAUGGCCUAUUUCAUGUGUUCUAUGAUGUUUGUAGGAUUAAAUUUAUCCAUCUUUGUUCGAUGUCUGAAAUCUGAUUCAUUUUGCCUAAUUCUAAGUUGAAUACACAUGCUAUGUUAACUCAUUAACUAGGCUAAUGUGUUACUUUGUCCACCUAUCUUGAUUUAAGGUUUUUAUUAAAUCAAAUGAGCUCAUAUAAGUUCUUCUUUGGAUGCAUUUGUUGACUUAAGGAUAAAAAUUGAAUUCUUGCUUACUCUUUGCAAAUUUCUGAAGUAAGGCUAAGGGUGUCUGUGGUGCUUUCACUUUUUUUAUUGAAUGAACUUUAAGCUUUUAAUUUCUUUGUUGUGACAAGUAACACAUACGUCCUGAUUAAGUUUAAGUUGACUGAAUUCUUGCUGUGUUGUUCUUUUUGGUAUUAAUGUUGAUUUACACUUGAAGGAAGGGUAAAGAAUGGCCAAGGGAUAAAUCUGACCACCAGUUGGUCAGAUCCGUCUCUGUGGAGUGUCUGGUUCACAAAUUCAUGAGUGGCAGAGCUUGAACAUGUAAUUCUACUGUUUGUUCAUCGCCAGUGCUGAAAGCAAAAGUAUAAGAGUUAGUUUGAAGUCUUAUUCUGAUCAAGUUUGUAAAUAAUGAUUGUAAUUGAUAGAAUGGUUCAUUAACGUAUUUCAAAUUAGUCCAAACUGAUUUCUUAAUGUUCUAAUUAGUUUUAUUUAGCAUAAUGUUGGUUCAAACUGAUAAUGAUAUGAGUUAGUUAGACAUUCUAUUUUUUUUUCUUAAAAUUUUGGCCGAUUAAAAUGAACUGGGACAGGCACUCCAAUAGGCCUAGCUUUCGUUCCUUUAUGGUGAAUGGAAUUUUGGACUCCAGGCAGCUGGGCAUGGGUACUAAGCCCAAUAACUUGGCCCCAAUUAUGAACUUAUUUUUAAAAUUAGUAUAAUUCCAAUUCUGAUUUAGGGUGUUAGAAAUCAUGCUAGCAACGUUACGUCAAACAUAAAUACAAUAAUAUUCUUAUAUGAUUCUCAUUCUCGUGUGAACCGUAUUGGACUUGGACAAUGUGUGCCUUGCGAUUUUUUCAUGCUGAAACACAAUCAUAACGUGCCCAGUCCAUUUAGAGUUGCGACUGGGCCAGAUUUGUAAACAGUUAGUUGGCCCAUUUCUCAUUUUUGAGUCCAUAACAAUUAAUUUUGGAUAAUCCCAAAUAGUUAAAUUUCUGGUAUUCCCAAAUGCUGCCACAGACCUUUACAAUAAUCUCAAAAAAAGUUUAGAAAAUAAUUUGAACAUAGUAGUUUGCUUUAGGCACGAUUGUUAAAUGAAUCAUCACGACUAUGGGUACGGUUCCCGUGGCAUAGUCGUGAUACCUAAUUUCCAAAUUCGGGUGCAUAUUUCAUGUGACCCGACCAUAACUUUGAAC